rnacentral:lncRNA from 1 species
GCCGGCCCUGGUUGCCGGGCGGGCCCGCACGCAGCGCCGGUCCCGGCCCGCGGCGGCGGACGCGGCCUCCCGGCCCUAUGGACGGGGACAAGAAAAGAACUAAAGAAGAUACUUGGAAAGCAGAAGAACUUAGGAAACAUCUAAAGGCAGCACUACUAGAGAGUCAAAAUGAAGACCAAAAACCCAGAGAGAAGAAAUUGCAAAGAGAGAGGAGUGUUCAUGACAUAAACCCUUACAGACAUGAAUACAGAGGCAGAGAGAAGAGCAAGGAGAGAACAAGAGAGAGAGAGAGGUUUAAAUCCAGUGAAAGGGACAGGGAUAAAAGGAGAGAAAGGGAGAAAGAACAGCAGAGAGAAGAGCGAGAGAGACACAAAGAUAAGGUCCCAGAGUCAUGGUUGGAGGAGAAACACAGUGUACUAAAAUAUAGAGACAGGGACACUGAGAGAGAACGAGACAAAAAGCACAAGGCAUAUGAGAUAAUAGAUCCCCGAAAUUAUCUGAAAUCAUUUGAAGGAAGAGACACAGAGCAUCACAGAAGAAGAGAAAUCAGGCAUCAUUUGGGGUGGUUGCUGAAAUCAGCAGCACGUGUCAUUACUCUUACCAUGACACAAGACUGGAGGGAUUCAUUAGGAGAGAAGAAGGAGUAACCAGUUUUGGAGAGAGAAUUUCAACAGAAUUCCUUUUUAGAAAGAGCUUAUGUAAGAGAAAACACAUUGCUAAAAUACAAUUUUCUACUUGCUAGAAUUAAUUACGUACGGAGUUGAAUAUUAUAAAAUCUGUUCUCUAAUUUAUACAUCUGUUUUCUAGAGGAGGAGAAAGCAAGAACUGAAGAGAGAGAAAGAAGACAUAAAGUACAGAAGGUAAAGGAAAUUAGUGAAGUGUUUCCAUAACAGAAUAAGAUAAAAUUGUAGAAUAAUGAAGAAACU